rnacentral:rRNA from 1 species
GGCNGAGGGNUGUAGAAUUCCACGUGUAGCAGUGAAAUGCGUAGAGAUGUGGAGGAAUACCGAUGGCGAAGGCAGCCCCCUGGGCCAAUACUGACGCUCAUGCACGAAAGCGUGGNGNGCAAACAGGAUUAGAUACCCUGGUAGUCCACGCCCUAAACGAUGUCAACUAGUUGUUGGNNAUUCAUUUCCUUAGUAACGUAGCUAACGCGUGAAGUUGACCGCCUGGGGUGUACGGUCGCAAGAUUAAAACUCAAAGGAAUUGACGNGGACCCGCACAAGCGGUGGAUGAUGUGGAUUAAUUCGAUGCAACGCGAAAAACCUUACCUACCCUUGACAUGGUCGGAAUCCUGCUGAGAGGUGGGAGUGCUCGAAAGAGAACCGGCGCACAGGUGC